GAGGUCCAAAGAGGAGAGCUGUUCAGCUUACCUGCCACAGAGCUUUUCUGCAUGAACUCUGGAACAGAAAGGCCCUGUAAAGCCCUCAGAGAGAAGAGAGACUCCAGAGAAGGCUCCCUAAGACCUUGAGAGCCAUGACAGGUCCAUCAGCAUGAAGUUGGCCAAGCCAUAGGGCACAGCACCUCCUUGUAACAACUCUAUUGCCCUCUUUGGGAGAUGACAUGAGUGGAACUCACAGCCACCACUACCACCACUUUAGACAGGACCGAGGCCACACACUCCCCAUUCUCUCACGGAUUUCCAUCUCAGCCUCGGAGGGCAACAUUGACAAUCCUCCUGGCUUCAGCCGGAGAAGGAUGCUGGAACAAGCGGCUGGUGUUGAAAGAGUGGGUUGACCAGUUUGGUAUUGAAUGUUGCCCAGCCACCCCUAGGAACACCUGUCCAUCACCUCCUGGAUGGAUUCCGCUGUUAGACAGCUACAGGGAAUGAUUGGUCACGGGGAAGUCUCUGCGCCAUAAGCCACGAUCCCAGCGCAAAACCCUUACUCAAAUGUCUUCAUUGACUUCAAUAUUUCAUAGUACCUGAGGUUUUAUUUUGAGAUACCAUCAGGGGUCACCAGCCUGGCAGUCACAGAAAACGCAUUUGGCAACUUCCUGCAGCUGUUGUGGAAAUGACAGCAGACCACGGUCCAAGCCAAAAUGGAGAAGCCGGGCCUGGCAGAAGAAACCAGCAGGCAGCUCUGGGAGGCCAUUUGCACAGAGCUUAUUUUGAAGUCCUGGGGUUCAAAUCCCAACUCCGCCUCUGGAUAGUCACAACCCACUGGAUAGAGAAUAGUUCAAGCAGAGUGUAAUCUGAGAAUAACAAAGGUGGGCCCAGGAUAUAAGGAAACCACAUAAGUUAAUGUUGACCCAUGAAGCACCCCCUACACCUGACGGGGCGGGCAGGAAGCGGUUACCAGAGCCCAGAAAGUCAGGUGGGGAAGCACUUGAGGGCCUGUGGCCUUAGACAGAGGCAGCCAGGCUGAGGCAUGUGCCUUAGGGGAACACACAUCUCAGCCUCACCCUCCCUGCCUCCUGGGGAACCUUGAGGCCACCAAACAAGGAGCCAUUAAUGCAGUUCAUGCUCCCAGGAGCAUUGAGCAGAGAGAAGUAGAGAGGACAAGGGUGAGAAGGGGAUCGGAGGCACUAAGGAAGACACUGGCAGAGCCAUUUAUUGUGCAUCUGAGGCAAGUCACUUCCCCUGCCCAAUCUGUUUCCUUAUCUGUAAAAUUGGGAUGUUACCUCACUCACUUGAGGUGAGGAAUAAAUUAUUUAAAACAUAUAAUGGUGGCUCACACCAGUAAUCCCAAUACCUUGGGAGGUUGAGGCAGGAGGAUCGCUUGAGCCCAGGAGAGAUCAGCCUGGGCAACAAAGGGAGACACUGUCUCUACAAAAAAAUAGAAAAAUUAGCCGGGUGCAGUAGCACAAACCUGUAGCCCUAGCUAUUCAGGAGGCUGAGGCAGGAGGCUCGCUUGAGCCCAGGAGUUUGAGGCCGCAGUGAGCUGCGUGGGGGACAGAGUGGGGGACAGAGUGAGACUCUGUCUCAAAAAAUAAAUAAAUAAAAAUAAAACGUGGAAAGUACCUAGCAUGAAGCCCAGUAGGAAAUUUUUUAAAAGGCAGUUGUUGUUAUUAUUAUUAUAACUCAUGUGGGGAGAAAUCAGGCUGAGAGAGAUACGUUAGAGUUGGCUGAAAGGUACAACAGCGAGGGAUGUUUGAGGCAGCCUAACAUACACUAUGAUAAAUACCACCACACUCAACAAGCAGCCUCUCUCCCUGUAAAAACAUCAGGUCAACCUGGACAGAGGCAGAAGACUGCACAUGCUGCCAUUUUAACAACAAGGCAAAAAAAAAAAUUCUCGCUCACUUGGCCCACUCCCAUCUCAACCCUUCCUACCCACACAGUGGGGCCAGUCUAUUUUAGCAAAAGACCAUUUAGUUAAAGGAGGCUGACAAGGAAAGGAUCCAGAUUUCUCCUUUUCUGUCUUUUAAAAAAAUCCACAGAUAUAAAUAAGCCCAAGACAGUCUGUUUCUGCCACCUUCUAAACAGACCUGUGAUGAAUUAAUAUCAGGACCAUGGGAGACUGUGACCGAAGGAUGGGUUAGGCUGGCCGCAGACCCAGCCAAUUCCACAAGCCCAGGCUUUGAAGCCAGUUUGGAAACUAGCCAUCAGGAAACUCCACAAACCUCAAUUUCUCCCAGACAAUUUUGGAGGAAAAACCCAAGUCAGCAAAGAAUAUGGAAAUUACUGAGAAGGUACGAGGUCCAUGGAGGCUCCAUCUUAAAGAAUGAAUGCCAUCGGCUGGGCACGGUGGUUCACACCUGUAAUCCCAGCACUUUGGUAGGCCAAGGCAGGCAGAUCAUGAGGUUAGGAGAUCAAGUCCAUCCUGGCCAACAUGGUGAAACUCUGCCUCUACUAAAAAUACAAAAAUUAGCUGGGUGUGGUGGUGCAUGCCUGUAAUCCCAGCUACUUGGGAGGCUGAGGCAGGAGAAUCGCUUGAACUAGGGAGGUGGAGGUUGCAGUGAGCCGAGAUCACGCCACUGCACUCCAGCCUGGCAACAGAGCAAGACUCCAUUUCAAAGAAAAAAAAAAAAAGAAAUUCAAAUUUAACUGAGCAUCCUAUGUUUCAGCUGGCAUCCCAGCUCAGGAAUGACAAGAACAGUGCUGAAAGGGACACAGCUCAAGCUACAGAGGUCUCCAACUGGUGGCCUCCAGGCCAUAUGAGGCCCAUGCAUGUGUGUUGCUCAGUCUUCACAGUUUAUAAAAUUGGAACAGGCUACAAACAUUUUCAAGAACUUUAAAGGAUUUCUUGCCUCUUUAAAAAUGGGAAGCUCCAACCAUGCAGGUAGAAGCUGCCCCACUAUGGGAACAUAAUGGGGACAGAAGGGAACGUGGAAAAGUGAAAACUGAUCACGGACUUGUUAGGAUGGAGAGAUUGUGAAUAAAUCUGUUUAGGGGUUGUUUAUUGCAUGAGGAGUCUGGAAGUGACAGUGUCAAUAGCCCAUGCCUGGGGAACUGGCCCUCUGCAGGCUCCACUGCUGCGGUCCCAGAAGUGCUGGCUGCAGUGUCUGAAAAACCUGCCCAUCUGCACCAUCUCUGCCAGACGAACUUGUACUUCCCUCUUUCCAGGCACAAGAUGAAGGCCUCUUGCCAUGGGCUGGAGAAAUCAGCCCCUACAGCACCCCCUGCAGACACAGGCUGGAGUUGCAAGUCCUGGGAGAGACCUGCUCUAUCUUCUCUGGCAAUUGUGGCCACUACUAGAGGAACUCAGGAAGGCAAAAUCUAGGAAAAGAAAAAGAAGAUUCAGCCAACGGCUAAUACAUAGCAGAGCCGGGAUUUGAACCCAAGUCUAGCUCCAGAGCCUAUGUUUGUUUUUAACAUUUUUAAAAAGCACUUUCGGAGGGUGAGGCAGGAGGAUCACUUGAGACCAGGAGCUUGAGAUCAACUCCAGCAACAUAGUGAGACCCCUAUCUCUACAAAAAAUUUAAAAAUUAGAUGAGUGUGGUAGCACGCACCUGUAGUCACAGCUACUCAGGAGGCUGAGGUGGGAGGAUUGCUUGAACCUGGAAGGUGGAGGCUGCAGUGAGCUAAGAUCGUACCAUUGCACUCCAGCCUGGGUGACAGAGCAAGACCCUGUCUCAAAAAUAAAUAAUAAAAAAAUUGUCAUACAAUAAAACUAUUUUUUUAUUUUGCUGUACAGUUCUAUAAAUCUGGGUUUUUGUUUUGAGAUGGAGUCUCACUCUAUUGCCCAGGCUGGAGUGCAAUGGUGCAAUCUCAGCUCACUGCAGCCUCCACCUUCCAGGUUCAAGCGAUUCUCCUGCCUCAGCCUCCCAAGUACCUGGGAUUACAGGCACGCGCCACCACGCCCAGCUAAUUUUUGUAUUUUUAGUAGAGAUGAGAGAUGGGGUUUCACAAUGUUGGCCAGGGUGGUCUCAAAUUCCUAACCUCAGGUGAUCCACCCACCUUGGCCUCCCAAAGUGCUGGGAUUACAGGCAUGAGCCACCAUGCCUGGCCCAGUACUAUGAAUCUUAACACAUGUACACAUUCAUGUAACCACUACCGUAAUCAUGAGACCCCAAACACUUCCUUGUGCGAUCCCUUUACAUCCACAUCCGCCACCCAUCCUAACUUCUGGCAACACCAUCAUCUCUUCCCUUCAUCACACCUUUGUCUUUUCCAGAAUGUCAAAUAAAAGGAAUCACACAGCAUGUAACCAUUUGAGGCUGGCUUCCCUCAGUCAGCACCACAUCUCUGAGGUUCAUCCAAGUUGUUGCACAAUCACUAGUUUAUUCCUUUUCACUCGGAUGAAGAUGACUAUUACUUAUCGGGGGACCUGCACCAAUAAUCACGUAGGUUCUUUUCUAUUUUCCUAAGCGUCGGCUGGCUUGAGAAAUAAAGCGACAGAGUACAAAAGAGAGACAUUUUAAAGCUGGGCGUCCGGGGGAGAUAUUACACAUUGGUAGGAUCCGUGAUGCCCCACAAGCCACAAAAACCAGCAAGUUUUUAUUAGGGAUUUUCAAAAGUGGGGGAGUGUGCGAACAGGUGUGGGUGACAGACAUCAAGUACUUAACAGGGUAAUAGAAUUCACAAGGCAAGUGGAGGCAGGGCGAGAUCACAGGACCACAGGACCGAGGUGAAAUUAAAAUUGCUAAUGAAGUUUCGGGCACCAUUGUCAUUGAUAACGUCUUAUCAGGAGACAGGGUUUUGAGAUCAACCGGUCUGACCAAAAUUUAUUAGGCGGGAAUUUCCUCUUCCUAAUAAGCCUGGGAGCCCUAUGGGAGACUGGAGUUUAUCUCACCUCUGCAAUCUCGACCAUAAGAGACAGGUACGCCCCGGGGGGGGGGCCAGUUCAGAGACCUACCCCUAGGUGCGCAUUCUUUCUCAGGGACGUUCCAUGCUGAGAAAAAGAAUUCAGCAAUAUUUCUCCCAUUUGCUUUUGAAAGAAGAGAAAUAUGACUCUGUUCUGCCCGGCUCACCGGCGGUCAGAGUUUAAGGUUCUCUCUCUUAUUCCCCGAACAACUGCUGUUAUCCUGUUCUUUUUUCAGGGUGCCCACAUUUCAUACUGCUCAAACACACAUGCUGUACAAUUUUUGUAGCUAACGCAAUUAUUACAGGGUCCUGGAAUGAUAUACAUCCUCCUCAACUGACAGGAUUAAGAGAUUAAAGUAAAGACAGGCAUAGGAAAUCACAAGGGUAUUGACUGGGGAAGUCCGUGAAAUCUUUACAAUUUAUGUUUAGAGAUUGCAGUAAAGACAGGCGUAAGAAAUUAUGAAAGUAUUAAUUUGGGGAACUAAUAAAUGUCCAUAAAAUCUUCAC
rnacentral:sRNA from 1 species